AAUUUUGGAGAAUGGGGGAAACCCUGAUCCAGCCAUCCCGCGUGUAUGAUGAAGGCCUNCGGGUUNUNAAGUACUUUUGGCAGGGNAGAAAAGGUAUCCCCUAAUACGGGAUACUGCAGACGGUAGCUGCAGAAUAAGCACGGGCUAACUACGUCCCAGCAGCCGCGGUAAUACGUAGGGUGCAAGCGUUAAUCGGAAUUACUGGGCGUAAGGCGUGUGUAGGCGGUUCGGAAAGAAAUGUGUUAAAUCCCCGGGCUCCACCUUGGAACUGCAUUUUUAACUGCCGAGCUAGAGUAUGUCAGAGGGGGGUAGAAUUCCACGUGUAGCAGUGAAAUGCGUAGAUAUGUGGAGGAAUACCGAUGGCGAAGGCAGCCCCCUGGGAUAAUACUGACGCUCAGACACGAAAGCGUGGGGAGCAAACAGG
rnacentral:rRNA from 1 species